AGCGAACGCUGGCGGCAUGCUUAACACAUGCAAGUCGCACGGGCAGCAAUGUCAGUGGCGGACGGGUGAGUAACGCGUAGUAACGUGUCCUGAGGUGGGGGACAACCCCGUGAGACUGGGGCUAAUACCGCAUAUGGGCUGAGGCCCAAAGCCGAUAGGCGGCUUUGGAGCGGCCUGCGUCCGAUUAGGUAGUUGGUUGGGUUAAGGCCUACCAAGCCUGCGAUCGGUAGCUGGUCUGAGAGGACGACCAGCCACACUGGGAUGGAGGCACGGCCCAGACUCCUACGGGAGGCAGCAGUGGGGAAUAUUGGACAAUGGGCGAAAGCCUGAUCCAGCAAUGCCGCGUGGGUGAAGAAGGUCUUCGGAUCGUAAAGCCCUUUCGACGGGGACGAUGAUGACGGUACCCGUAGAAGAAGCCCCGGCUAACUUCGUG
rnacentral:rRNA from 1 species